UGCCCUAGGAUCCGGAUAGCUGAGGAAACUUCAGGUAAUACCGGAUAAUGUCCCAGGACCAAAGGUAUGAUUCCGUCCGGGGAUGAGUCCGCGUCCUAUUAGCUUGUUGGUGGGGUAAUGGCCUACCAAGGCAAAGAUGGGUACCGGGUGUGAGAGCAUGGCCCGGCUCACUGGGACUGAGACACUGCCCAGACACCUACGGGUGGCUGCAGUCGAGAAUCUUCCGCAAUGGACGAAAGUCUGACGGAGCGACGCCGCGUGCGGGAUGAAGGCCUUCGGGUUGUAAACCGCUGUCAGUUGGGAGGAAAUGCAUGGUGGUUAUCCAUCAUGUUUGACCGAUCUUCAGAGGAAG
rnacentral:rRNA from 1 species